rnacentral:miRNA from 1 species
CAUGGGCUUUUCGAGGAUAUUCGC